rnacentral:rRNA from 1 species
CAUUACACAAAUAUGAAGGCGGGCUGGAACCUCUCGGGGUUACAGCCUUGCUGAAUUAUUCACCCUUGUCUUUUGCGUACUUCUUGUUUCCUUGGUGGGUUCGCCCACCACUAGGACAAACAUAAACCUUUUGUAAUUGCAAUCAGCGUCAGUAACAAAUUAAUAAUUACAACUUUCAACAACGGAUCUCUUGGUUCUGGCAUCGAUGAAGAACGCAGCGAAAUGCGAUAAGUAGUGUGAAUUGCAGAAUUCAGUGAAUCAUCGAAUCUUUGAACGCACAUUGCGCCCUUUGGUAUUCCAAAGGGCAUGCCUGUUCGAGCGUCAUUUGUACCCUCAAGCUUUGCUUGGUGUUGGGCGUCUUGUCUCUAGCUUUGCUGGAGACUCGCCUUAAAGUAAUUGGCAGCCGGCCUACUGGUUUCGGAGCGCAGCACAAGUCGCACUCUCUAUCAGCAAAGGUCUAGCAUCCAUUAAGCCUUUUUUUCAACUUUUGACCUCGGAUCAGGUAGGGAUACCC